CCUACGGGAGACUGCAGUGGGGAAUAUUGCACAAUGGGGGAAACCCUGAUGCAGCGACGCCGCGUGAAUGAAGAAGUAUUUCGGUAUGUAAACUUCUAUCAUCAGGGAAGAAAAUGACGGUACCUGACUAAGAAGCCCCUGCUAACUACGUGCCAGCAGCCGCGGUAAUACGGAGGGGGCAAGCGUUAUCCGGAUUUACUGGGUGUAACGGGAGCGUAGGCGGUUUAGCAAGUCAGAAGUGAAAGCCCGGGGCUCAACUCCGGGAGUGCUUUUGAAACUGUUGAACUAGAGUGCAGGAGAGGUAAGUGGAAUUCCUAGUGUAGCGGUGAAAUGCGCAGAUAUUAGGAGGAACACCAGUGGCGAAGGCGGCUUACUGGACUGUAAAUAACGCUGAGGCUCGAAAGCGUGGGGAGCAAACAGGAUUAGAUACCCGAGUAGUC
rnacentral:rRNA from 1 species